rnacentral:rRNA from 1 species
UGGGGAAUAUUGCACAAUGGGCGCAAGCCUGAUGCAGCCAUGCCGCGUGUGUGAAGAAGGCCUUCGGGUUGUAAAGCACUUUCAGCGGGGAGGAAGGCGGUGAGGUUAAUAACCUCAUCGAUUGACGUUACCCGCAGAAGAAGCACCGGCUAACUCCGUGCCAGCAGCCGCGGUAAUACGGAGGGUGCAAGCGUUAAUCGGAAUUACUGGGCGUAAAGCGCACGCAGGCGGUCUGUCAAGUCGGAUGUGAAAUCCCCGGGCUCAACCUGGGAACUGCAUUCGAAACUGGCAGGCUAGAGUCUUGUAGAGGGGGGUAGAAUUCCAGGUGUAGCGGUGAAAUGCGUAGAGAUCUGGAGGAAUACCGGUGGCGAAGGCGGCCCCCUGGACAAAGACUGACGCUCAGGUGCGAAAGCGUGGGGAGCAAACAGGAUUAGAUACCCUGAUAGUCCACGCUGUAAACGAUGUCGAUUUGGAGGUUGUGCCCUUGAGGCGUGGCUUCCGGAGCUAACGCGUUAAAUCGACCGCCUGGGGAGUACGGCCGCAAGGUUA